GAGCCGCAACUCAGUGGUAGAGCACUUGCCUGAUAUGCAAAAGGUAACAGGUUCAAUCCCUGACAUCCUCA